rnacentral:rRNA from 1 species
CCGGCGACCGGCGCACGGGUGAGUAACACGUAUGAAACCUGCCCGUAGCAGGGGGAUAAGCGGAAGAAGUUCCGUCUAAUACCGCGUAACAACCCAUGGAGGCAUCUCUGUGGGUUUAAAGGAAGCGAUUCCGGCUACGGAUGGUCAUGCGUCGCAUUAGCUUGUUGGCGGGGUAACGGCCCACCAAGGCGACGAUGCGUAGGGGUUCUGAGAGGAAGGUCCCCCACACUGGUACUGAGACACGGACCAGACUCCUACGGAAGGCAGCAG